rnacentral:rRNA from 1 species
CCUACGGGAGUCAGCAGUGGGGGAUAUUGCACAAUGGGGGAAACCCUGAUGCAGCGACGCCGCGUGGGCGAAGAAGUAUUUCGGUAUGUAAAGCCCUAUCAGCAGGGAAGAAGAAAUGACGGUACCUGAGUAAGAAGCACCGGCUAAAUACGUGCCAGCAGCCGCGGUAAUACGUAUGGUGCACGCGUUAUCCGGAUUUAUUGGGUUUAAAGGGUGCGUAGGCGGGCAUUUAAGCCGGCGGGAAAAUGUCGGGGCUCAACCCCGGCCUGCCGUCGGAACUGGGUGACUUGAGUGGGCGAGAGGUAUGCGGAAUGCGUGGUGUAGCGGUGAAAUGCAUAGAUAUCACGCAGAACCCCGAUUGCGAAGGCAGCAUACCGGCGCCCUACUGACGCUGAGGCACGAAAGUGCGGGUAUCGAACAGGAUUAGAUACCCUUGUAGUC